rnacentral:rRNA from 1 species
UGCAAGUCGUACGCUUUCUUUUUCCACCGGAGCUUGCUCCACCGGAAAAAGAGGAGUGGCGAACGGGUGAGUAACACGUGGGUAACCUGCCCAUCAGAAGGGGAUAACACUUGGAAACAGGUGCUAAUACCGUAUAACAAUCGAAACCGCAUGGUUUUGAUUUGAAAGGCGCUUUCGGGUGUCGCUGAUGGAUGGACCCGCGGUGCAUUAGCUAGUUGGUGAGGUAACGGCUCACCAAGGCCACGAUGCAUAGCCGACCUGAGAGGGUGAUCGGCCACAUUGGGACUGAGACACGGCCCAAACUCCUACGGGAGGCAGCAGUAGGGAAUCUUCGGCAAUGGACGAAAGUCUGACCGAGCAACGCCGCGUGAGUGAAGAAGGUUUUCGGAUCGUAAAACUCUGUUGUUAGAGAAGAAUAAGGAUGAGAGUAACUGUUCAUCCCUUGACGGUAUCUAACCAGAAAGCCACGGCUAACUACGUGCCAGCAGCCGCGGUAAUACGUAGGUGGCAAGCGUUGUCCGGAUUUAUUGGGCGUAAAGCGAGCGCAGGCGGUUUCUUAAGUCUGAUGUGAAAGCCCCCGGCUCAACCGGGGAGGGUCAUUGGAAACUGGGAGACUUGAGUGCAGAAGAGGAGAGUGGAAUUCCAUGUGUAGCGGUGAAAUGCGUAGAUAUAUGGAGGAACACCAGUGGCGAAGGCGGCUCUCUGGUCUGUAACUGACGCUGAGGCUCGAAAGCGUGGGGAGCAAACAGGAUUAGAUACCCUGGUAGUCCACGCCGUAAACGAUGAGUGCUAAGUGUUGGAGGGUUUCCGCCCUUCAGUGCUGCAGCUAACGCAUUAAGCACUCCGCCUGGGGAGUACGACCGCAAGGUUGAAACUCAAG